GAUGAACGCUGGCGGCGUGCUUAACACAUGCAAGUCGAACGGAAAGGCCGAAGCUUGCUUCGGUACUCGAGUGGCGAACGGGUGAGUAACACGUGGGUGAUCUGCCCUGUACUUCGGGAUAAGCUUGGGAAACUGGGUCUAAUACCGGAUAUGACGAUCUCUUGGAUGGGGUUGUGGAAAGCUUUUGCGGUAUGGGAUGAGCUCGCGGCCUAUCAGCUUGUUGGUGGGGUAAUGGCCUACCAAGGCGUCGACGGGUAGCCGGCCUGGGAGGGUGUACGGCCACAUUGGGACUGAGAUACGGCCCAGACUCCUACGGGAGGCAGCAGUGAGGAAUAUUGCACAAUGGGCGCAAGCCUGAUGCAGCGACGCCGCGUGGGGGAUGACGGCCUUCGGGUUGUAAACUCCUUUCGCAAUCGACGAAGCCUUUUGGUGACGGUAGGUUGAGAAGAAGCACCGGCUAACUACGUG
rnacentral:rRNA from 1 species